UACGGAGGGGGCUAGCGUUGUUCGGAAUUACUGGGCGUAAAGCGCACGUAGGCGGGCGGUUAAGUCAGGGGUGAAAUCCCGGAGCUCAACUCCGGAACUGCCUUUGAUACUGGUCGUCUAGAGAUCGGAAGAGGUGAGUGGAAUUCCCAGUGUAGAGGUGAAAUUCGUAGAUAUUGGGAAGAACACCAGUGGCGAAGGCGGCUCACUGGUCCGAUACUGACGCUGAGGUGCGAAAGCGUGGGGAGCAAACAGG
rnacentral:rRNA from 1 species